AGCUCCAAUAGCGUAUACUAAUGUUGUUGCAGUUAAAAGCUCGUAGUCGGAUUUCAGGUUUGUUGUAAUAAUCUCUAUAGACUGUUACCGCAAAUCUUCUUUGACAGAAGAGUAUUUGGCAUUGAUUUGCUGAGUGCAUCGACUGUCUCUUUUACUUUGAGAAAAUUAGAGUGUUCAAAGCAGGUUUUUGCCUGAAUAUUACUCUUGGAAUAAUACUAUAGGACUCUGGUUCUUGUUUGUUGGUUUACAGGUGCCGGAGUAAUGAUUAAUAGCGACGGUUGGGGUCAUUCGUACUGCAAAGCGAGAGGUGAAAUUCUUGGACCUUUGUAUGACGAACAACUGCGAAAGCAUUUGACUAGGACGUUCGCG
rnacentral:rRNA from 1 species